rnacentral:lncRNA from 1 species
CAUUUUUCCUCUAUUUUUUUAUUUUUAUAAAUACAUUUGUCUAUAUGAAAAAAGAAGAUGUUGUAUGAUUGCCAAUGAUACAACUCCCAACAAGAGACCAAAAUGACAUAGACAUUAACAACUAUAGGUCACCGUACGUCCCUCAACAAUGAGCAAAGCACAUACCGCAUAGUCCGCUAUAAAAGGCCACCAACAAACGACAAUUACUGAACAUCAGAACAGGGGCGUAGCUAGGUAUCAAAUCAACUGUAGGCACAAAUCGGCAGGGGGUCUGGGGGUCGCUAAAGGCCCCCUGCAGGUCCAGGGCAGAGCCCAUGGCCAGGUAGGGGGUUCAGGGGCCGAAGGCCCCCCGACGGAAAACGGUUUUCAGCAUUUUAGUUGCAUAAUUUUGUGUACAAAAAUAUCAUAUUUACUGGUUUUUAUCAUGAUAAUAUUCAUGAAGAAAAGUUUGAAGAAUUAUGAAUAAUUUUACAUUAACACCUGAAUUAACGUAGUAGUGUACAAUCAAAAAUCUGAAAGAAAAAAAA